UAAACUGUCUAGAGUAUAUCAUCAUCAAAUUAUAGUAGAUUCAUACCUGACAGUUUAGGAUCACUUAUUAUUUUAAGCCUAAUUAUAUCAUAUGCACAACAAUCCAACACUAAAAAAACAUUAAUCACUCA
rnacentral:pre_miRNA from 1 species